AAAAAACCGAGAGCCGGUCCUGAUAUGUUCUUUUGAUAUGUUCAAUUCCAUGCAGCUAUCCAUUGUUAUCGAGGGCCCUAUGCCCUGUUGGAGGCAGUGUGACCUAGUGGAUACAGCCCUGGACUAAGCUGCAGGAGACCUGGGUUCUAGUCCUGGCACUAGCCAGCUGUGUGACUUUGGGCAAGUCACUUCACUGCUAUGUGCCUUAGUUUCCCUGUUUGUACAAAGGGGAUUCUGAUCUCCACGAUAAAGCGCUUAGCUGAAAAGUGCCAUAUCACUGUGAGGUGUUAGUAUUCAUUCCCUUUCUCUUCCUCCCAGCCGGGAGCCACAACUACUGCCAUAAAGACCACUGUGUUCCAGAAACAACGUCAACCCAAUGCUUCCGAAGUGACCUACUCAGGGUGCCGCUUGCCCCCAUCCGGCCAGGAGGGGAGGUCGUUGGUACGGUUUGCGUCCAGACUGCGGGGCAGACCCAGCAGUAGCUGACCACAUCCCCGUUCCUGUAGCAUCGCUGGGUCCUUUGUUAAGGGCAGAUGGCAGCAGCU